rnacentral:rRNA from 1 species
CUGGUCCUGCGGGGGGCAGCAGUGAGGAAUAUUGGUCAAUGGCCGAGAGGCUGAACCAGCCAAGUCGCGUGAGGGAAGACGGCCCUACGGGUUGUAAACCUCUUUUGUCGGGGAGCAAAGCGAACCACGUGUGGUUCAUUGAGAGUACCCGAAGAAAAAGCAUCGGCUAACUCCGUGCCAGCAGCCGCGGUAAUACGGAGGAUGCGAGCGUUAUCCGGAUUUAUUGGGUUUAAAGGGUGCGCAGGCGGGAGGUCAAGUCAGCGGUAAAAUGUCGGGGCUCAACCCCGGCCGGCCGUU